UCUGAUGUUAGCGGCGGACGGGUGAGUAACACGUGGAUAACCUACCUAUAAGACUGGGAUAACUUCGGGAAACCGGAGCUAAUACCGGAUAAUAUUUUGAACCGCAUGGUUCAAAAGUGAAAGACGGUCUUGCUGUCACUUAUAGAUGGAUCCGCGCUGCAUUAGCUAGUUGGUAAGGUAACGGCUUACCAAGGCAACGAUGCAUAGCCGACCUGAGAGGGUGAUCGGCCACACUGGAACUGAGACACGGUCCAGACUCCUACGGGAGGCAGCAGUAGGGAAUCUUCCGCAAUGGGCGAAAGCCUGACGGAGCAACGCCGCGUGAGUGAUGAAGGUCUUCGGAUCGUAAAACUCUGUUAUUAGGGAAGAACAUAUGUGUAAGUAACUGUGCACAUCUUGACGGUACCUAAUCAGAAAGCCACGGCUAACUACGUGCCAGCAGCCGCGGUAAUACGUAGGUGGCAAGCGUUAUCCGGAAUUAUUGGGCGUAAAGCGCGCGUAGGCGGUUUUUUAAGUCUGAUGUGAAAGC
rnacentral:rRNA from 1 species